GAUCCUGGCUCAGGAUGAACGCUAGCUACAGGCUUAACACAUGCAAGUCGAGGGGAAACGACAUCGAAAGCUUGCUUCCGAUGGGCGUCGACCGGCGCACGGGUGAGUAACGCGUAUCCAACCUGCCCACCACUUGGGGAUAACCUUGCGGAAGUAAGACUAAUACCCAAUGAUAUCUCUAGAAGACAUCUGAAGGAGAUUAAAGAUUCAUCGGUGAUGGAUGGGGAUGCGU
rnacentral:rRNA from 1 species